rnacentral:rRNA from 1 species
GUGCCAGCAGCCGCGGUAAUACGAAGGGGGCUAGCGUUGCUCGGAAUCACUGGGCGUAAAGGGCGCGUAGGCGGACUCUUAAGUCGGGGGUGAAAGCCCAGGGCUCAACCCUGGAAUUGCCUUCGAUACUGAGAGUCUUGAGUUCGGAAGAGGUUGGUGGAACUGCGAGUGUAGAGGUGAAAUUCGUAGAUAUUCGCAAGAACACCAGUGGCGAAGGCGGCCAACUGGUCCGAUACUGACGCUGAGGCGCGAAAGCGUGGGGAGCAAACAGGAUUAGAUACCCCCGUAGUCC